rnacentral:rRNA from 1 species
UUGAAAUCCCCCGGGAAUUGUAAUUUGAAGAGAUUUGGGUCCGGCCGGCAGGGGUUAAGUCCACUGGAAAGUGGCGCCACAGAGGGUGACAGCCCCGUGAACCCCUUUAACGCCUUCAUCCCAGAUCUCCAAGAGUCGAGUUGUUUGGGAAUGCAGCUCUAAGUGGGUGGUAAAUUCCAUCUAAAGCUAAAUACCGGCGAGAGACCGAUAGCGAACAAGUACAGUGAUGGAAAGAUGAAAAGCACUUUGAAAAGAGAGUGAAAAAGUACGUGAAAUUGUUGAAAGGGAAGGGCUUGCAAGCAGACACUUAACUGGGCCAGCAUCGGGGCGGCGGGGAGCAAAACCACCGGGGAAUGUACCUUUCGAGGAUUAUAACCCCGGUCCUUACUCCCUCACCAUCCCGAGGCCUGCAAUCUAAGGAUGCUGGCGUAAUGGUUGCAAGUCGCCCGUCUUGAAACACGG